UCUAAUGAUCAUACCACGUUGAAUACAUCAGUUUUCGUCCAGUCACUGAAGUUGAGGACGUCGGAUGUAAUUAUUAUUUGGAUGGGUGACUGCUUGGAAACACUGCGGUCGUUGGUU